CAGUAGCCACGGGAAUACGUAGGGUGCAAGCGUUAAUCGGAGUUACUGGGCGUAAAGCGUGCGCAGGCGGUUUGUUAAGACAGAUGUGAAAUCCCCGGGCUCAACCUGGGAACUGCAUUUGUGACUGGCAAGCUAGAGUAUGGCAGAAGGGGGUGGAAUUCCGCGUGUAGCAGUGAAAUGCGUAGAUAUGCGGAGGAACACCGAUGGCGAAGGCAGCCCCCUGGGCCAAUACUGACGCUCAUGCACGAAAGCGUGGGGAGCAAACAGGAUUAGAUACCCCGGUAGUCCCUGUCUCUUAUAC
rnacentral:rRNA from 1 species